UACGGAGGGUGCGAGCGUUGUCCGGAAUCAUUGGGCGUAAAGGGCGCGUAGGCGGCCCGGUCAGUUCGUGGUGAAAGCGCGGGGCUCAACUCCGCGUCGGCCAUGGAUACUGCUGGGCUCGAGCACUGUAGAGGCAGGCGGAAUUCCGGGUGUAGCGGUGGAAUGCGUAGAGAUCCGGAAGAACACCGGUGGCGAAGGCGGCCUGCUGGGCAGUAGCUGACGCUGAGGCGCGACAGCGUGGGGGAGCAAACAGG
rnacentral:rRNA from 1 species